rnacentral:rRNA from 1 species
UACGAAGGGGGCUAGCGUUGCUCGGAAUCACUGGGCGUAAAGCGCACGUAGGCGGAUUGCUAAGUCAGGGGUGAAAUCCUGGAGCUCAACUCCAGAACUGCCUUUGAUACUGAAGAUCUUGAGUCCGGGAGAGGUGAGUGGAACUGCGAGUGUAGAGGUGAAAUUCGUAGAUAUUCGCAAGAACACCAGUGGCGAAGGCGGCUCACUGGCCCGGUACAGACGCUGAGGCACGAAAGCGUGGGGAGCAAACAGG